rnacentral:rRNA from 1 species
GGCCUAACACAUGCAAGUCGAGCGGUAGAGAGAAGCUUGCUUCUCUUGAGAGCGGCGGACGGGUGAGUAAUGCCUAGGAAUCUGCCUGGUAGUGGGGGAUAACGUUCGGAAACGGACGCUAAUACCGCAUACGUCCUACGGGAGAAAGCAGGGGACCUUCGGGCCUUGCGCUAUCAGAUGAGCCUAGGUCGGAUUAGCUAGUUGGUGGGGUAAUGGCUCACCAAGGCGACGAUCCGUAACUGGUCUGAGAGGAUGAUCAGUCACACUGGAACUGAGACACGGUCCAGACUCCUACGGGAGGCAGCAGUGGGGAAUAUUGGACAAUGGGCGAAAGCCUGAUCCAGCCAUGCCGCGUGUGUGAAGAAGGUCUUCGGAUUGUAAAGCACUUUAAGUUGGGAGGAAGGGUUGUAGAUUAAUACUCUGCAAUUUUGACGUUACCGACAGAAUAAGCACCGGCUAACUCUGUGCCAGCAGCCGCGGUAAUACAGAGGGUGCAAGCGUUAAUCGGAAUUACUGGGCGUAAAGCGCGCGUAGGUGGUUUGUUAAGUUGGAUGUGAAAUCCCCGGGCUCAACCUGGGAACUGCAUUCAAAACUGACUGACUAGAGUAUGGUAGAGGGUGGUGGAAUUUCCUGUGUAGCGGUGAAAUGCGUAGAUAUAGGAAGGAACACCAGUGGCGAAGGCGACCACCUGGACUAAUACUGACACUGAGGUGCGAAAGCGUGGGGAGCAAACAGGAUUAGAUACCCUGGUAGUCCACGCCGUAAACGA